GACGAACGCUGGCGGCGUGGAUUAGGCAUGCAAGUCGAACGGUAUCAUCCUUUCGGGGGUGAGAGAGUGGCGAACUGGUGAGUAACACGUAGGUUAUCUACCCUCAAGACGGGGACAACCCAGGGAAACUUGGGCUAAUACCGGAUGUGAGCAACUUUUAGUUGUUUGAAAGGUGGCGUAAGCUGUCGCUUGGGGAUGAGCCUGCGUCCUAUUAGUUAGUUGGUGAGGUAACGGCUCACCUAGGCAAUGAUAGGUAGGCGGCCUUAACGGGUGGUCGCCCACACUGGGAUUGAGAUACGGCCCAGACUCCUACGGGAGGCAGCAGUCGAGAAUAGUCUACAAUGGUCGGAAGACUGAUAGUGCGACGCCGCGUGAACGAUGAAUCCCUUCGGGGUUAAAGUUCUUUUAUAUGUGAGCAGUGCUUCUUAUAUUAACAGUAUGGGGAAGAGAUAUUAGCAUAUGAAUAAGCAACGGCUAACUCCGUGCCCAGCAGCCGCGGU
rnacentral:rRNA from 1 species